UAGGCUUCCUCAAUUAUCUCCCAUGCGACCUAUCCAAUCUCCACUGACGAAGCCCGUCACGCCGGCCGCAGAGCAAUCUCCUUUGCCGCCGUGACGAGGUCGGCCGCAUCGCGAUAGGGCUGCGAGGGGCGCCACGAGACUGCCGAUUGUCCUUCAAAUCCGUUACUCAGCACAGUUGCUGGAUCUUAUGCUUUUCUUUGGAUGCCAAUGGAGAUGGUACUGCUUUACAAAUUCAGUUAGUGAGCACCUGAAAUAGUUGAUGCUGGCAUGGAUGCCACGAGUGAUUGGGUUGACAAUGAGCACCGGGAGGGGCUCUUCAAUGCGUGGUAAAAACUUCCACUGGGAAUCAUGGAGCUCUUCAGAUAAUGUGCAUGGGUGUUGAUGCAUCGGAGAAGUUGACCUGGGCGUGUAUUCAGCCUGAAAUUUUCAGGUACCAUCUUCAUUUUCGGAUCCAAUUAUUUUAUCAGAUCUUAUUUUUUACCUGAUAAUGUGCCGAACCAACGUAUGGUGUGUGGAUCCUCAAUUUGGAUCUGUGAUCUGCAAACCUAUCAGAUUCAACUAAAAGAGCUAGGACUUAGGUGGAUCCGACCUGGUUCAGUAGCUCAGGUUCACAGGUUCAUGUCACAAAUCAGCCAACAUUUGUGGCUUCCCUUGGUCCAAUGGCAAGCACCUACCCAUAAAAAUCCACUGCUAAGUUUAAUGUAUUGCAUCUGGGUGAGAGGUGGUGGUCAUUCUCCAGUUUCUGCUGCUUCGGAUUUAAUCCAGUGGGGCGAAUCCAUUAUUGUUUAAGGUGCAAUGCAUCUGUGAGGAGGACAUUUGAUUCUGCUGGCCGCUAUGCUCUCUCUUGUUGGAUCAACCUGUACAGACAUUGAUGGAUGUGCCCCAAGUGCUCAUUUUGGCUUCCAACAUCAGGACUUGUAGUGUAGGCCCUAUGAACAGUUAGGUUACUGGAUCUUUCAAAGAUCUUCCUGACCUCAAAACUAUUGCCAAUAACUACGCCAAGAGUGAAGUCGUACAGUUUCAGGAAGAGGAGAAGAGUUUGUACCUUCGUCCACGUUCAAGUGAGAAAACAGGCCAGCAGGAGAGCUACUGUGCCUGAUGAGAUUAGA